rnacentral:lncRNA from 1 species
UGGACAUGUAAGAGGUUAUGUUGGUGGAGAUAUGUAUCAAGAAUUCAGUGGUUACAAUGUUGUGAUAUACUCCCAAGGUAGCUUUUGUGCAUUCUCUUUUGCAAUAUCAGAUCAUUUUGUUUGAACUGCAAACUAAAGCAUGGAUGAGUUGAAAUUUUUAGUAUAGUUAUAGAUGAACUGCAAACUGUCAGACAACAUUUUUAGUAUAUUUAUAGAUGAACUUCAUUAAUUUUUACAGUUAUGCAUUUUUAGUAUAGUUAUAGAAGAACUGUCUACAGUUAUAUAGAAAGAUACCACUACAGUUUGGCCUUCAGUUCUUGGGCAUGUCUAAUGAAUCAGAUUGCUACCACCACAUCCAUUAUUUUUUUUAUUAAUCCAUUGAUUGUUUACAAACCAUGAUAAGCAAUUCACAUUAUAACCUUUAAUUCAUUUAUAUAGAUUGGUAGUGAAAAGUUAGUCUGCACUUUUGCUUGGGGUUCUCAGUUACAAUCUGACGCCUUGAGAAUGUGCCCCUAUUGAUGCCAUAUCAUAUCAAUCCUAAUCUUUGAACUUAAUUUUAGUUUGGUUAUUGGGAACUUGCUUAAGCAUAUUGGUUUGUUUCAAUGUUGAUCAAAGAUCCAUCAAGCACCAAUUUCAUGUUGUAUGAGUAGAGUAUGCAUGCAACAGACAGUUCAUCUGUACAAUAUUAUUGUACACCUUUUAGAAACCAUCAUUGUAUACCUUUAUUUAUCCCGAAAAAUAAGGUUGGUCAUAUUGUAUCUUAAAAAUAAAGUAUCUAACAUUAACAAGUAUGACUUGGUAUUAUGUUUUUCUUAAUAUGAAGUAUUUCUUGAAAUCUAUGUAAUCAAUAUUAUAAGUCUAUAUUCUAAUAGAGUUCAGUUGGUCAACAAACUUGACCAUUACCGCCAUUAGGGUCAUAGGCGCAGGAAAUUUUUAGGGGGGAGAUUUUAUGUAGCUAAUAUGAAGCAUUGAUAUGUUAGGAGUUAUUAGAUAUAAUCGGGAAACCAUCAAUGAGGCUUGAUAUGCAUUACCCAAGCUACGAAAGUGGCCAGUCAUGCUGAACCAUUUAUGUUGAACUGGAAGUUCUCAAUUGAUUAUAGGUUUUUUUUUUUUUUUUUUUUUUAUUAAUCUGCUUUAUUGGUUUAUUUGAUGUUGAAUUCUAUAGGGUAAAAGCUGAUUGAUUUAGACUUUCCUGCUGCCGAGACUCAAAAAUCUUGAAAUUUCUUCAAUUCCAUGUCUGCUUUGGAAUAAAACCUUCCCUUCAUUGAAACGAAAAUGGGAUAUCUCAGGUAUGUCAAUCUAAAAGAUUAAAACAAGCCCUGCGUGCAUGUAAAAGUAACACAGUAUUUUUUGGGGUGAUAUAGCAAUACAUGUUAAGAGUUGAUACAUAUUGGGACCUUUUUUAUCAGCAAAUGUGCUUAAAAUGUUGGUGGGUGAUGUAACCACAUGUUAGGAGUAGAUACUGGAUAAAUUUGUGCAUCUUAAGAUCCCAACAACAGGUUGGAAACUUUCUGAUAAAUGUAGUCCCAAUCAUAGUUCCUCCAAAAAGAAAUGCAGUCAUGCAGCUUACUAGAUGCUUCAUAUGUCAUACGAUAGCAUUUUUUGUAGCUUGACAUAACAAGUUAGAUAUUGAAGUAGUAGAAUUGAAAAUGUAUACGCUUUGAAUUUUUUUUUUUUUUUUUUUUUUUUUUUUUUUUAUUAAUCUGCUUUAUUGGUUUAUUUGAUGUUCAAUUCUAUAGGGUAAAAGCUGAUUGAUUUAGACUUUCUUGCUGCCGAGACUCAAAAAUCUUGAAAUUUCUUCAAUUCCAUGUCUGCUUUGGAAUAAAAUUCAUGAAACGAAAAUGGGAUAUCUCAGGUAUGUCAAUCUAAAAGAUUAAAACAAGCCCUGCGUGCAUGUAAAAGUAAAUUAGUUUAUUGUGAAGCUCUCUAAAGAAACACAGUAUUUUUUGGGGUGAUAUAGCAACACAUGUUAAGAGUACAUACAUAUUGGGACCUUUUUUAUCAGCAAAUGUGCUUAAAAUUUUGGUGGGUGAUGUAACCACAUGUUAGGAGUAGAUACUGGACAAAUCUGUGCAUCUUAAGAUCCCAACAACAGGUUGGAAACUUUCUGAUAAAUGUAGUCCCAAUCAUAGUUCCACCAAAAAGAAAUGCAGUCAUGCAGCUUACUAGAUGCUUCAUAUGCCAUACGAUAGCAUUUUUUGUAGCUUGACAUAACAAGUUAGAAAUUGAAGUAGUAGAAUUGAAAAUGUAUACGCUUUGAAUUUUUUUUUUUUUUUUUGUUGCACUAAUAGUGCAAUAUACAUUUUAGAACAAGAUGGUUAACUACGAGUAUCUUUGGAACAAAUCUCUUCGAAAUAAUUAAUAUAAAGAACUCACAUGAGGAAGCCAGUGAACAAUACUACUCUCAACAACUUAAACCUUCAGCCACGUAUGAUAGGCAUUUCUAGCAAUAGAUCUGUUACACCAGUUUGUUCUGCAUAUUUGUCCUGUUAGGUGAUCAGGCCUGAUCAGUUGGAAAAAUCUCAACCAAGUCACAACAUGGAUGAAAAAACUGAAUCAAAGUUUAUGCAAUUUAAAAGUAUAUAGAUCAUCAAUAUUUUAACAUCAGAAUCACUUUUUAAUUUAUAAACAAUGUAUCAUAUUAUUUCAAUCCUCUUUUGGUAAAAAUAUGAACUGAAAUAAAACUUAGAACAAAUAUAGAUAAAGGUGUAUGUGCAGAGAGGGGCCUAUAUCUAAACCUGUUGUUAUUACCUGUUUUCUUUUUCCGAUAUCAAAUGUAACCCUGUUGUUGUAUUACCUGUUUUCUUUUUCCAAUAUCAAAUAUAACGGCUCCUGAAACUACGUCAAUACUUUGUUAUAGCUUUAUUAGUUUUGUUUAUAAUACUCAAUUCUAUCAUUGCUAGCAUCUUAUUAUACAAUUGGCUUAUUGUACGAUAUUCUUUAGGGGUACUUUGCUGAUGUGCAAAGUGGUAUUGUGGUGUCAGAGUGUGGCAGGUGACAAUUUCUAGGGUCUGACAGUGAAGAUACAAGGUUAUUUUAUCGAGCUCGAAGAAUUUAGUGUUGGUACUUUCUUUCUUUUGCUUUGGAUAUUUAUCACCUGAUGGCACACGUUGAUCAGGAUUGUAUUUGGUUUGUUGCUGAUUAAUAAUAUUUUUGUUAAUCCAUAAAAGACAACAAAACUUUUAUUAAACAUUCUAUCUAUGCAGGUCAAUGAUCUUUAUGUAAUGCCAUAAAUUGCCAAAUUUAU